rnacentral:rRNA from 1 species
CCUACGGGUGGCAGCAGUGAGGAAUAUUGGUCAAUGGGCGCGAGCCUGAACCAGCCAAGUAGCGUGAAGGAUGACGGCCCUACGGGUUGUAAACUUCUGUUAUAAAGGAAUAAAGUGAGGCACGUGUGCCGUUUUGUAUGUACGUUAUGAAUAAGGAGCGGCUAACUCCGUGCCAGCAGCCGCGGUAAUACGGAGGAUCCGAGCGUUAUCCGGAUUUAUUGGGGUUAAAGGGAGCGUAGAGGGGUUGUUAAGUCAGUGGUGAAAGUUUGCGGCUCAACCGUAAAAUUGCCAUUGAGACUGGCAGCCUUGCUUCCCGUUGAGGUCGGCUGCCUUCGUGGUGUAGCGG